rnacentral:misc_RNA from 1 species
CAGAGUUUACAAACUCCCAACCCAAUUGUGAACAUACUUGCCAGUUGCCUCGGCGGGACGCCCGGCCCUCACGGCACCGGAACCAGGCGCCGCGCAGGACCCAAACUCUGUUUAUAUGAAUCUACCAUUCUGAGUGACUUUUAUUACAAAUAAAUAA